GGUGGGAGCACCGGAAGUGGAGGGUGGAGCGGAAGAGGGGGGUGGGAGCACCGGAAGUGGAGGGCGGAGGAGAAAGGGAAGGUCCUGGAAGGGGGAUAAUAAAGGUUGGGGGGUGGGAAAAGGUCCUGGAAGGGGGAUAAUAGGGGGAAAAAAGGUCCUGGAAGGGGAAUAAUAAAGGUUGGGGGGGGAGAAAAAGGUCCUGGAAGGGGAAUAAUAGGGGAAAAAAGGUCCUGGAAGGGGGAUAAUAGGGGAAAAAAGGUCCUGGAAGGGGAAUAAUAGGGGAAAAAAGGUCCUGGAAGGGGGAUAAUAAAGGUUGGGA
ensembl:lncRNA